rnacentral:rRNA from 1 species
UACGUAGGGUGCAAGCGUUGUCCGGAAUUAUUGGGCGUAAAGAGCUCGUAGGCGGUCUGUUGCGUCGGCUGUGAAAACCCGGGGCUCAACCCCGGGCCUGCAGCCGAUACGGGCAGACUAGAGUUCGGCAGGGGAGACUGGAAUUCCUGGUGUAGCGGUGAAAUGCGCAGAUAUCAGGAGGAACACCGGUGGCGAAGGCGGGUCUCUGGGCCGAUACUGACGCUGAGGAGCGAAAGCGUGGGGAGCGAACCGG